AGUGGGAAAGGACAGUAAAUAUUUGAAACAGUUUAUAUAGUCUCACACAGGGCCGGUCAUUUCUAUGUCCUUAUAUUGUGCUGUGGUUAGAAACCGAAGAGCAAGAGAUGAGGUCACUGGCAGCUGCUCAGGGCCUUAUGGGGACAACUCCUUAGUAGAUCCCUUUACCCUGGGCUCCUUGGCUCUGUAGCUCCAGCAACCUCAUUUAUUUGGUCACUCCACUGGCCUAGGUGGGGAGUAUUAACACGAAGGUCAUGCAUGUGAUUCAGGACACCACCUUCUAGGCAGCCAAACACUUGGCCAUCUCAGGUGAUACCCAGAGGUUGCUUGAUGAGCAAGGACCAGCUCAGAACCAAGCAGGGAAGAUAAACAACCCAGACAUGCGAGUGCAGAUCCUCAAAGAUUACGUCAGGCAGCACUUCCCUGCCACUCCUCUGCUCGAUUAUGCACUGGAAGUAGAGAAGAUUACCACCUCGAAGAAGCCAAAUCUUAUCCUGAAUGUAGAUGGUCUCAUCGGAGUCGCAUUUGUAGACAUGCUUAGAAACUGUGGGUCCUUUACUCGGGAGGAAGCUGAUGAAUAUAUUGACAUUGGAGCCCUCAAUGGCAUCUUUGUGCUGGGAAGGAGUAUGGGCUUCAUUGGACACUAUCUUGAUCAGAAGAGGCUGAAGCAGGGGCUGUAUCGUCAUCCGUGGGAUGAUAUUUCAUAUGUUCUUCCGGAACACAUGAGCAUGUAACAGAGCCAGGAACCCUACUGCAGUAAACUGAAGACAAGAACUCCUCCCC
rnacentral:sRNA from 1 species